rnacentral:rRNA from 1 species
AUACGGAGGGUGCGAGCGUUAAUCGGAAUUACUGGGCGUAAAGCGUACGUAGGCGGUUGGUUAAGUUAGAUGUGAAAGCCCCGGGCUUAACCUGGGAACUGCAUUUAAAACUGGCGAACUAGAGUUGAGUAGAGGGGAGUGGAAUUUCAGGUGUAGCGGUGAAAUGCGUAGAGAUCUGAAGGAACACCAGUGGCGAAGGCGACUACCUGGACUCGAACUGACGCUGAGGUACGAAAGCGUGGGUAGCAAACGGGAUUAGAAACCCCAGUAGUCC